AUUGAACGCUGGCGGCAGGCCUAACACAUGCAAGUCGAGCGGAGCGGCGGACGGGUGGGUGAUACCUAGGAGUCGGCCUGAUCGUGGGGGAUGACGUUCGGAAGCGGACGCUGAUACAUCAUACUCUCAGUUGAACCUAGGUCGGUGUAGCUAGCUGGUGAGGUAGUGGCUCACCAAGGCUACGAUCCGUAACUGGUCUGAGAGGAUGAUCAGUCACACUGGAACUGAGACACGGUCCAGACUCCUACGGGAGGCAGCAGUGGGGAAUAUUGCACAAUGGGCGAAAGCCUGAUACAGCCAUGCCGCGUGUGUGAAGAAGGCCUUCGGAUUGUAAAGUACUUUAAGUCGGGAGGCGUUACCGACAGAAGAAGCACCGGCUAACUCUGUGCCAGCAGCCGCGGUAAUAC
rnacentral:rRNA from 1 species